ensembl:lncRNA
GAGAGAGAGAGAGAGGAAUUGGGAAGAGAGGGGGGUAGGGUGAAGGAGAGAGAGAGAGAGAGAGAGAGAGAGAGAGAGAGAGAGAGAGAGAGAGAGAUCAGGCGGAAGAUGUGGGGGAGAGAGAGAUCAAGUGGAAGAUGUGGGGGGAGGAGAGAGAGAGAGGAAUUGGGAAGAGAGGGGGGUAGGGUGAAGGAGAGAGAGAGAGAGAGAGAGAGAGAGAGAGAGAGAGAGAGAGAGAGAGAGAGAUCAGGCGGAAGAUGUGGGGGAGAGAGAGAUCAAGUGGAAGAUGUGGAGGGAGAGAGAGAGAAAGAGAGAGAGAGAGAGAGAGGAAUUGGGAAGAGAGGGGGGUAGGAGAUAGACAUAGAGGAGUGGUAGAGAGAGAGAAGAGGGAAAAGGACCAGAGAGAGAUGGAGAUACAGAGAGAGAGGGAGAGAGAGAGA